rnacentral:rRNA from 1 species
GCCUACGGGAGGCAGCAGUGGGGAAUAUUGGGCAAUGGGCGCAAGCCUGACCCAGCAACGCCGCGUGAAGGAAGAAGGCUUUCGGGUUGUAAACUUCUUUUCUCAGGGACGAAGAAAGUGACGGUACCUGAGGAAUAAGCCACGGCUAACUACGUGCCAGCAGCCGCGGUAAUACGUAGGUGGCAAGCGUUAUCCGGAUUUACUGGGUGUAAAGGGCGAGUAGGCGGGAUUGCAAGUCAGAUGUGAAAACUAUGGGCUCAACCGAUAGAGUGCAUUUGAAACUGCAGUUCUUGAGUGAUGGAGAG